GUUUUCACCAAAUGAGAUCUCCAGAGUUUUGAGUUUCUUUUUCUUGCCUUAGUACUCCGAAAUAAAUAAAAGUUGAGAUGCUUGUUAAUCACCAAACUAGCGGCUAGUAAAAUUAGGGCACAGUACGUGUGCCUUUCACAGGCUUAUCGUGGUCAUAUAGGUUUGUGACAAAGCAGCUUUUGAGCUCUGAAUGUUGUAAAGAAAUAACCAAGACUCUUCCUAGGAAAUGUUUAGCAUCA
rnacentral:misc_RNA from 1 species